CUGCAGUUUUUGACUUGACCUUCCGCAUUGAUGAAACAUUUGAUCCAGCACUGGUCAAUACCAACUCUCCCCAGUUUGCAGCAAAAGCUAAAACAAUCCGCAGUCAGAUUGAACCUUUGUACUCCAAAACCUUUAAAAACUUCAAAAACAUGGAAAUUUUACGAUUAAGGAAGGGUUCUACUGUAGUAGAAAGCAACAUCUACUUUAAUUCUAAUGGACCAAAUGUUACUACAUCCGAAGUGAAAAGAACUCUUCUCAAUGGACUUA